GGAUCGAUGAUGACACCCUCACAUGCAUUCCUUGGAAAAUCUGACAAAAUGAGUGAGAACUCACUAACCGUCUCCUCGUCGAAACUGAGGUCC
rnacentral:snoRNA from 1 species